rnacentral:lncRNA from 1 species
CAGUUUAAGGUUUGAUGGCUUCUGAGGGUGGCUUGUGAGCUGAAGCUUCUCUCCAAACACAAGGACAGAGGCGUCUGUCACAUAACCCAUGAAGAACCAUCACCUGAAAACUGUGCAUCACCUCGUGAGAAUCUCAGUCAGGGAUCCUUCAGUGUGUGUCACAUGGACAAAAAGAAAGGGGGAAACUCCUCCUGCAUGAACACGGCCGCAGGAUUGUCUUAAAGGUGCCGAGUUCCCACAAUCCAUGUGCAGCACACACGGUCCUCU